rnacentral:rRNA from 1 species
CACGGGGGGAGCAAGCGUUGUUCGGAAUCACUGGGCGUAAAGGGCGUGUAGGCGGUCAGGUAAGUGGGAUGUGAAAUGCCCCGGCUCACCCGGGGACCGGCAUCUCAUACUGCUUGGCUUGAGUACGGGAGAGGAUGUGGGAAUUCCUGGUGUAGCGGUGAAAUGCGUAGAUAUCAGGAGGAACACCGGUGGCGAAGGCGCACAUCUGGCCCGAUACUGACGCUGAGGCGCGAAAGCUAGGGGAGCAAACGGG